AUGAUCCCAUAUAAUUCAGAAAGACUGAGAAAUGAACAAAAUGCUAGAUACCCACUCUCAUUUCCCACAGAAAGGACGAGGCACCUCACAGCUUAAAGUGCAGUAGGGAUUCAUGCCUGAGAUGGGUGCUUUAACAUGAGAAGGAAGGGUCCAGAGGCAACUGAAAUUCAUGAAACACGUGUAUGUGGUUUUUGCAUGCACACCCUCUUUCUCCAAGGUGAAGAGGCACCCAUAGUACUGUGAUUACUUCCCAGAGCCCUAGCUAGCCAGGAUGCAGUGCUCUUCCUGUCAGAAACAAGAGGCCACAUAUAAAGCUCUGUUCCCAAGGCACCCAAUUGCCCCCCACUGGGGAAGCCACCUUGUCCAGAAGUCUGUGGGGAUCCCACACAGUGGAAUUUACUGCAGUGGACAAAGUGCCUUUUAUCAUAGUCUUUGCACUGAUAGUGCCCUGGAGAAGGCAGGCUUCUUUUCAUAGGAACAAUGUGCAAAGCAGUAUUUGGGUGACCCUAGAAAGUAUGGAAGAAGCCACAUUCUGCCUCAUUCACAUGUGGGUGACAUUAGACUUUUGCCAAAUUGACUUUUGUGCUGACAUGGGUGAGGACCAUGAGUCUCUCACAUUCUCCAUUGUAAGGCACUGCUCUGAGCCACCCAAUCAUAAGACAGUGCCUGAGUCUAGCCCCUGUGGGAUGGCAAUGUGACCAGGUGACAGAUGCCUGGCCUUGUGCUAACAGGGCCUCCGCACUGGUUGACGUGAGCAGAAAUGCUGUCAUGUAUCUGUAAGAACCAUUUGCUCCUGUAUUCUCCAAGAUUCUCCCAUAAAUUGGGUGAUCAGUUUGAGGACAUAGGGUCAGAGAUAGAAGAGGCUCUUCGUGCUGGGAAGGCUCAGGCGCAGGCUAGCCUGAGAAGGCAGUCUUCCAUGGAAGGCAGUCUUCCAUGGGAGUCAGGUCCUCAGCUCCUCCCCUCACCCACCCUGUCCUAACCCCCCCCCCCCAGGGGGAGGCUGGACCCUGAGGGCUCUUCCCUAGCUCUUGGGUAGAAAUGACAUCUCAGGAGCUGAGGGGAUGGUGAGAAGGGUCUAACCUCUCCUCCCUCCACAAACCAUCCUGUGUAUCUUUUAAGGACCCCUUUAAUAUGAAUCAGGGUGGCAGUUGGACCUAAACCCAGGGGGUCGCACUUGAGACACAUCAGGAACCCUUAUAAGAUGGUAAUGCAUUUGGGGAUGCCUCAUUUCCAUGCCAUCUUGCUCCUGUGGGUCUCUGUUGGUGAAUCAUACCACAGGAUUGUCCUCUAUAAAUUUUUGAACUGCUGGAAGUGAUGAGUCCCUAACACUUCCCAAAGUGUGUGACCCAUCUCUGUUGGAUAUUUGGGGCUCUUGGGGAGGUGGGAGUUAGAAAGGGGGCUCGGGUACCUCACAGGACCCAUGGGAUGCAGGGUCACAGGAACCCAGGCUGGCCAGGGAGUGCAGUGUCUCGUAAGUAAUGCUGUGGGUGGUUUUGGUGAACUGUCUGUCUGACAAUCGUCACAUGAGCGUAUGACUUACUGUCUUCCCUUGUACAUAGGCUGUCUGUGUUUGGCUUUUCCUAGUACUGUGAGGUUUCCCACAGGGAUUCCAUGUAGUACUCUGUGCUGUGACAAUGCCACUCUUCCCCCAAGAUCACACAUCAUCCCCACAAAUGGUUCUGCCUUUCUCUAUGCUAACACAUGGAGCCACUGAGAUGCAGUUGGGUGGUUAGGCUCUUGGAUUUUAUUUUGCAAUUUUAUAUAUAUACAUAUAUAAUAUAUAUAUUUAUGGGUUGGUUUUAUAUGGUUUUCUGUUUGAAUCUAUGAGCAACAAAGCUUCCCUUCGAUUUUCAUGAGAACUUUCCAAAGGCCUUUUGCUGCUUUGGUGUCUGACUGUGUUUGGGGUGGACUCUGCUUGUGGGUUUCUCUGUGUGUGCCGUUAUUUCACCUGCAGAUCUUACCCUAGUAAACCAGAUGUGCUUGGC
rnacentral:lncRNA from 1 species